rnacentral:rRNA from 1 species
AUGUAUGCAUUUGUUUAUGUAGUAUGUAUGUCGGUGUGUGAGUGGUUGUUGACAAACAAGGCUCUUUGUUGUAAUAAUUUCCCCUCGUAUCUGUGCUCUUCUGCCAUCCGCUUUGUGCUACAAAUUGUAUGCUUUGAUUUCCCCUUGUAUCUGUCAAGUACUGUACACACCUGGCCACACUUUAGUCACGUAGAAAUUUUUCGUCUUCGUUUAGUAACAUGCAUGCAUGCAUUCUUGAUUUAUCAGCGACGAGUUCUAAGUACCCAUCCCAUCCAAACAAACAAGGCUCUUUGUUGUAGCAUUGCCAUACUAACGCACUCCUCUUUUUUGAUUGCCCGUUGGCCAAGGUAA